AACUUCCAUUCUUGAUUCCAGCGUGUCACACACACAAUUGAAUUCUUAACAGCUGCCAUUCAAAAGAACUGCGGAGGACCAUUUGAAAGUAAUAUUUUGCUCUGUGUGACAUCUCAUUUUUUUCCCCUCAGAAAUCAUAAUUUUUUUACACACCUCGUAGUCUUCCUAACAGGAAACCAGCUCAGCCUGUCAUUUUGAUUGGGGAGGAACCUUGUUUUCCAGGUCACUGGCUUGAAUCCUGGAGACAAGAUAUUCAUGAGGGACCUGUAUGGGGAAUUUACAUCUCGGAGCAGAGUUUUCCUCUCCAUUUGCCAGCAUGCCAGGGAAGUUCUGCCUCUUACUGAAGAAAUCUAAGGGACUCUUUUCCUCACCUGAAGAAAGUCAAGGCACAAUUACCAAACAGGGGAAAAACUUCAUCAGGAUGCAGAGGUGUCAAAGCACAGGAACUUAUUCAAGGU
rnacentral:lncRNA from 1 species